GUGCCAGCAGCCGCGGUAAUACGUAGGGUGCAAGGCGUUAAUCGGAAUUACUGGGCGUAAAGCGUGCGCAGGCGGUUUUGUAAGACAGUGGUGAAAUCCCCGGGCUCAACCUGGGAACUGCCAUUGUGACUGCAAAGGCUAGAGUGCGGCAGAGGGGGAUGGAAUUCCGCGUGUAGCAGGGAAAUGCGUAGAUAUGCGGAGGAACACCGAUGGCGAAGGCAAUCCCCUGGGCCUGCACUGACGCUCAUGCACGAAAGCGUGGGGAGCAAACAGGAUUAGAUACCCUGGUAGUCC
rnacentral:rRNA from 1 species